rnacentral:rRNA from 1 species
AUGACCUCCGCAGCAGCGCCGCCAACAUCGCUGCACCGCCCGGCGGUGAGCGCCACACACGCAGCCAGAGCGUCCGUCGCGGCGUCGAGCAACAGGGUGCACCUUGGUAACCUCGAGCACCUCUUCCGAAGCCGCGGUGCCGUCGAGAGCAGUGGGACCGCCGCGGCGCCUGUGCAGCCGGCACGGAGGAGGCAGCAGGCGCCGCUGCUGCGGCUACCGUCCUUCUUCAAGGGGGCCAAGGGCGACUUCGCCGUGGCCAAGGAGGAGCAGGUGGACUUGUCGCCGCGCCUGUUCCAGCCGGUGCCGCCCGACGGGCCGUCACCGCGUGGGGACAUCGCGGCGUCGUGGCGGCGGCUGCACGGCGAGGACGGCUGGCGCGGCCUGCUUGACCCGCUGCACCCGGACCUCCGCCGCGAGAUCGUCCGCUACGGGGAGUUCGUCGACGCCGCGUACGGCGCGUUCCUUUCCCAGCCCGACGCCACGCCGGGCGACAUCGCUGCCCCCGUGCACGUCCCGCUCCAGGACGCGGCCUACCGCGUCACGGCGCCACUGUUCGCGACCUCCUCCGUGAGCUUCCCGCCCUGGCUCGCGCUUGCCGCGCCGUGCGCCGCGCAGCGCACGAGCCUCGUCGGGUACGUGGCCGUGUGCGACAGCCCCGCCGAGGUCCGACGUAUGGGCCGGCGCGACAUAGUCAUCGCGCUCCGUGGCACCUGCACGGUCCUUGAGUGGGCCGAGAACUUCCGCGCCGGCCUCGUCCCGGCCACCGAAGCGGUCGACGCCGCAGCUUCGCCGGUCUCCGCCUCCGACGCAAAGGUGGAGUGCGGGUUCCGGAACCUUUACAAGACAGCCGGCGACGGUUCGCCGAGCUUGUCAGAAAUGGUCGUCACCGAAGUACGCAGACUACUCAAAAAGUAUGAGGGAGAGGAGGUGAGCAUCACGGUGACGGGUCACAGCCUGGGGGCGGCGCUGGCGGUGCUGAUCGCCGACGAGCUCGCGGGCCCCGGCGAUGCGCCGAAGCCAGUGACGGUGUUUUCGUUCGGCGGGCCGAGGGCGGGGAACCGCGCGUUCGCGGAGCGCGUGGAGGCCCGGGGCGCGCGCGUGCUCCGCGUGGUGAACGCGAACGACGUCGUGCCGCACCUCCCGCCGCGCCCCGGCGGCCGGUGGUACGCUGACGUCGGCCGCGAGCUCCGCCUUGACAGCCGCGCGUCCCCGUACCUCCGCCCCGAUGCCGACGCAGCCUGCUGCCACGACCUGGAGGCGUACAUCCACCUCGUCGACGGCUUCCUCAGCUCGCACUGCCCCUUCCGCGCCAACGCCAAGCGCAGCAUUCUGCGGCUGCUCAAGAACCAGGGUGGCAACGUCAAGCAGCUCUACAUCAGCAAGGCCAUGGACAUGCGCGUCCGGCUCGACGCCGGUGGCGCCGUUGACAUGCCUGGCUCGCCGCUCAGCCGUCUCGGUGCGCCGAGCAACGUGCUUAAGUGCGUGCACUGA